ACAGUUGAUAUAGAAAUUACUGAGUCAGCUAUUCACAUAUUUUUAACCCUGCUGUAUUUGAAAGAAACAUGAGAGAUUCCAGGAUUUGAAGCGUCUCAUGCAGAAAAACAGCAGCUGGAGGCAGGAAACUACCUGUUCAUCAAAUCAGUACAACAAUGUGUCUUUUCCAAGAUCUUCACCUGAAAUUACACGUAGCGCUGUCUCCAUCUCUUCAAGAAGCAGUUGUCACUGAUGUCUUUAUCUUAAAAAUAGCAACGAAUUUACAAAUAGAUUCUGUAAUUUAGAAUUGAAUUCUUUUUUAUCUUUUUUUUAAAGGUAUGAUUGGUACUGGGAGUAUAACCCCACGGUAGAGCACUUGCAUACACAUGCAAUGAGGUACAAACUCAGCCCAGCAAAAUAAAUAAAUAGAACUUUAAAAUA
rnacentral:lncRNA from 1 species